GCUGGGUGUUAGGAUGGCAGCUUGCACAGUAUAGUGGACACAUGGUUUAGUCUGGAUACCAGUGCCAAAGCCAGAACGACACCCAUCAGCACUGGGAGAAGUGGAAAAUGCAACAGCCAUUGGACAGUGAGGGAAUUGGACAUUCCCUCCACCCGCACCCAGCCUUGAUCUGAACUGUAGUUGUCUGUGUGGCUCUUACAGAUGCAUGGAGUCAUCCCUAGGUUUGCUGCGUGCCAAACAGCCAUGGUAACAAAACCCAGCUCUCAUCCCAGGAGGGCUGGAGCUGAGGUCUGACACAGUCCAGGGCUGAUGGUGUAGCUCACCAGCAGGUUGGAGAAGAUGGGUAUCAGCUGGUGUGGGUCCCCACCCAGUGAGGUGGAUGACACUGGGAUAAACCUGAUCCAGACCUCUGACUCUGAACAAGAUGUUCUGACUGGAGCUUGUCCUACCAGAUGUUAAAAAAACAGCAACUACAUUUCUAUGUAAGUCAGGCAGGUGUUUUCACUCCCUCUCUGUUUGGAUGGAUCCUGGAAUUACACUGGAUCAUUGUUUCUGGUGAGGAGUGCUUGGGAAGAGUGGAAUGAAAGCUGGCUGAUCCUGGAAGUUGGUUGCUGCCUGUGACUUCUCUUGUUAGCAAGGAAAGCCUCCCUGCAAGCCUUCGUGCUAGCAGUGACAGCAUUGCAGCCCCUCGAGAGCUUCAGAGGGCUCUGGGACCCUGUGGAGCAAGCGGAUCUUGAGCUGUACAUUUCUCUAGUGGGUUCCUCUCUAAUUUCCCUUUAACACAAAAUUUGCAGAGCUGGAAAGUAAACCAUCAUGUUUAUCCAACUCAGCUGAAAGUAAUGAAUAGCAUUUAUACAGCACUGUGGAUGUUCAGGUUCUGCUCAGACAUUAGAGACCUACCCAGAAAAUCUACUUAAAUAAGUCAGUGGGUUCCAGGAAAGAAGUAAAUUCUCUGCUGCUCUCUGCCGAAAACCUUAGUGGCUGCUGCAUCACCUGGAGAGAUUAAAUGCCUGCAAAGAGCUGAGAGAAGCUUGAUCCAGGCUCUCUGCAGCCCCAGCAUAAAUCUACUUACAGAACGCCUGUGGUCCACGGCAGCCCACCCCUUCCACUGCCAUGCAUUUAUCUUGUCUUAUCAGCAAAGAGAUAUGGAACCAGCAUCAUCUAAAGGCCCCAGCAAGGACAUUGUCCCCUCUUGCUAAGCCCUGGAGAGAUGCAGCACCCACUCCAAAGAGAUUACACCCUGAAUAGACAUCAUGC